GAAAUGCGAUAAGUAGUGUGAAUUGCAGAAUUCAGUGAAUCAUCGAAUCUUUGAACGCACAUUGCGCCCCUCGGUAUUCCGUGGGGCAUGCCUGUUCGAGCGUCAUUUCAACCAUCAAGCCCCCCGGCUUGUGUUGGGGACCUGCGGCUGCCGCAGGCCCUGAAAAGCAGUGGCGGGCUCGCUGUCACACCGAGCGUAGUAGCAUACAUCUCGCUCUGGGCGUGCUGCGGGUUCCGGCCGUUAAACCACCUUCGUAACCCAAGGUUGACCUCGGAUCAGGUAGGAAGACCCGCUGAACUUAAGC
rnacentral:misc_RNA from 1 species